rnacentral:rRNA from 1 species
AGUGCUUGCACAAAGCUGGGGACAGUGGCGAACGGGUGAGUAACACGUGGGUAACCUGCCCUGUAGUCGGGCACAACAGUUGGAAACGACUGCUAAUUCCCGAUAGUCUGCAGCAACGUAGGUUGUUGCAGUAAAGGUUUUUCCGCUACAGGAUGGGCCCGCGGGCCAUUAGCUUGUUGGUGGGGUAACGGCCUACCAAGGCGACGAUGGCUAGCCGGUCUGAGAGGAUGAUCGGCCACACUGGGACUGAGACAUGGUCCAGACUCCUCCGGGAGUUAGCAUCAGGGAAUCUUGCGCAAUGGGCGAAAGCCUGACGCAGCGACGCCGCGUGAGGGAUGAAGGUCUGCGGAUCGUAAACCUCUGUAAGCAGGGACGAAUGCCCGAUUCGGUCGGGAGCGACGGUACCUGCAAAGUAAGCUCCGGCUAACUACGUGCCAGCAGCCGCGGUAAUACGUAGGGAGCCAGCGUUGUCCGGAUUUACUGGGCGUAAAGAGCGCGUAGGCGGUUUUGUAAGCGGAGGGUGAAAUCCCGGGGCUCAACUCCGGGGCUGCUUUCCGAACUGCAAGACUAGAGUACGGGAGAGGAUAGUGGAAUUCCUGGUGUAGCGGUGGAAUGCGUAAAUAUCAGGAGGAACACCCGUGGCGAAGGCUGCUAUCUGGAACGUUACUGACGCUGAGGCGCGAAAGCUAGGGGAGCGAACGGGAUUAGAUACCCCGGUAGUCCUAGCUGUAAACGAUGGAUACUAGGUGUUGGAGGCAUCGACCCCUUCAGUGCUGUUAUGCUAACGCGUUAAGUAUCCCGCCUGGGGAGUACGGCCGCAAGGUUGAAACUCAAAGGAAUUGACGGGGGCCCGCACAAGCGGUGGAGCAUGUUGGUUAAUUGGAUGAUACGCCCAGAACCUUACCAGGGUUUGACAUGUUUGGGACAGCUGGUGAAAGCCCAGUCUC